AUAAUAUUUGUGAAAUACCUUCAUCUAAUAUUUUAACUUUACAAACAUAUUAAUUUACAUUUAUGAAAGAGCUAUCGCAAGUGAAGAUCAUUUUUUAUUAGCUCACCUGGCCCGAAGGGCCAAGUGAGCUUUUCCCAUCACUUUGCGUCCGUCGUCCGUCGUCCUCGUCGUUAACUUUUACAAAAAUCGUAUCCUCUGAAACUACCGGGCCAAAUUAAACCAAACUUGGCCAAAAUCAUCAGUGGGGUAUCUAGUUUAAAAAAUGUGUCCGGUGACCCGGCCAACUACUCAAGAUGGCCGCCACGUCUAAAAAUAGAACAUAGGGGUAAAAUGCAGUUUUUGGCUUAUAACUAAAAAACCAAAGCAUUUAGAGCAAAUCUGACAGAGGUAAAUUUGUUGAUCAGGUCAAGAUCUAACUGUUCUGAAAUUUUCAGAUGAAUCGGAC
rnacentral:lncRNA from 1 species